UGGUGGAGUGAUUUGUCUGGUUGAUUCCGUUAACGAGCGAGAUCGCUAUAUUAGAUGUGUAUAAGUAAAGAUAUAGGAAGUGAGCGGCAAUAACA
rnacentral:rRNA from 1 species